AUACGUAGGGGGCGAGCGUUAUCCGGAAUGACUGGGCGUAAAGGGCGCGUAGGCGGCCCGGUAAGUCUGGUGUGAAAGUCCUGUUUUUAAGAUGGGAACUGCUUCGGAUACUGUCGGGCUUGAGUGCGGGAGAGGUAAGUGGAAUUUCCAGUGUAGCGGUGAAAUGCGUAGAUAUUGGGAGGAACACCAGUGGCGAAGGCGACUUACUUGACUGUAACUGACGCUGAGGCGCGAAAGUGUGGGGAGCAAACAGGAUUAGAUUCCCUGGUAGUCCACACUGGAAACGAUGAAUGCUAGGUGUAGGGGGUAUCGACCCCUUCUGUGCCGCAGUCAACACAAUAAGCAUUCCGCCUGGGGAGUACGGCCGCAAGGUUGAAACUCAAAUGAAUUGACGGGG
rnacentral:rRNA from 1 species